rnacentral:rRNA from 1 species
ACGCUCGACACCUAAGGCAGCAGUCGGGAAUAUUGCGCAAUGGAGGAAACUCUGACGCAGUGACGCCGCGUGCAGGAAGAAGGUUUUCGGAUUGUAAACUGCUUUAGACAGGGAAGAAAGAAAUGACAGUACCUGUAGAAUAAGCUCCGGCUAACUACGUGCCAGCAGCCGCGGUAAUCUGAGCGGGCUGGCAAGGC